rnacentral:lncRNA from 1 species
GGGUAUUUUGCUUAAUAUUUUUUGUGCAUUCAUUUAUUGUCCACUACGUGAUAAGAGUGUCAUUACAAGCACUUUACAUAGUAGAAUAACAAAAAACGAGGUGCGAUAGGAGGUCCGUUCAUCUGGGUGUGAGUUGAGCUGACAAGGAAUUUUGCUUGAUAUUAGAAUUAGAAAGAGAGGUGCAGUGUGUGCACAAACAAAAUAAAUAUCGAGAGGGGGGAG